rnacentral:rRNA from 1 species
CCUACAGGAGACAGCAGUGGGGAAUAUUGCACAAUGGGGGAAACCCUGAUGCAGCAACGCCGCGUGAAGGAAGACGGUUUUCGGAUUGUAAACUUCUGUUCUUAGGGAAGAAUAAUGACGGUAGCUAAGGAGCAAGCCACGGCUAACUACGUGCCAGCAGCUGCGGUAAUACGUAGGGGGCAAGCGUUGUCCGGAAUUACCGGGUGUACAGGGAGCGCAGGCGGGAAGCCAAGUCAAUUCUGAAAUCGACGGGCUUAACAUGGGGAAUGCAGUGGAAACUGGUUUACUGGAGUGGGGUAGAGGAUAGUGGAGUUCGGUGGGGAGGAGUGAAAUGUGUAGAUAGUGGGAGGAAGAUCAGUGGUGAAGGCGACUACCUGGCAGAUAACUGACGCUGAGGCGCGAAAGAGUGGGUAGCAAACAGGAUUAGAGACCCCGGUAGUC